rnacentral:rRNA from 1 species
UACGUAGGGUGCAAGCGUUAAUCGGAAUUACUGGGCGUAAAGCGUGCGCAGGCGGUUUGGUAAGACAGAUGUGAAAUCCCCGGGCUUAACCUGGGAAUUGCAUUUGUGACUGCCCGGCUAGAGUGUGUCAGAGGGGGGUAGAAUUCCACGUGUAGCAGUGAAAUGCGUAGAUAUGUGGAGGAAUACCGAUGGCGAAGGCAGCCCCCUGGGAUAACACUGACGCUCAUGCACGAAAGCCGUGGGGAGCAAAC